GUUUGAUUAUGGCUCAGAACGAACGCUGGCGGCAUGGAUUAGGCAUGCAAGUCGAACGAAGCAGCAAUGCUUAGUGGCGGAAGGGUGAGGAACGCGUGAGUAAUCUGCCCUCAAGUUGGGAAUAACAGCUGGAAACGGCUGCUAAUACCGAAUGUGGCUGUGAGAUCGCAUGAUUUUGCAGUUAAAGAUUUAUUGCUUGAGGAUGAGCUCGCGUCCCAUUAGCUAGUUGGCGGGGCAACGGCCCACCAAGGCGAUGAUGGGUAGCUGGUCUGAGAGGAUGGUCAGCCACACUGGGACUGAGACACUGCCCAGACUCCUACGGGAGGCUGCAGUCGAGAAUCUUGGGCAAUGCGCGAAAGCGUGACCCAGCCAAUGCCGCGUGCGUGAUGAAGGUCUUCGGAUUGUAAAGCGCUGUCAACCGGGACGAACUUAUGACGGUACCGGUGAAGGAAGCCACGGCUAACUACGUGCCAGCCGCUGC
rnacentral:rRNA from 1 species